AUCGUAAACCUCUGUUGUGAAGGAAGAAUAACUUAGAUAGUAAAUGAUCUAUGUUUGACGGUACUUUACCAGAAAGUCACGGCUAACUAUGUGCCAGCAGCCGCGGUAAUACAUAGGUGGCAAGCGUUAUCCGGAUUUAUUGGGCGUAAAGAGUGCACAGGUGGUUUAUCAAGUCAGUUGUUAAAUACCAAGGCUCAACCUUGGCUCGCAAUUGAAACUGAUAGACUAGAAUAUCGGUGGGGGUAGUAGAAUUCCAUGUGUAGUGGUGGAAUACAUAAAUAUAUGGAGGAAUACCAGUGGCGAAGGCGGCUACCUGAACGAUUAUUGACACUUAAGCACGAAAGCGUGGGGAGCAAAUAGGAUUAGAUACCCUAGUAGUCCACGCCGUAAACGAUCUAGACUAGACGUUGGGAUAACCCAGUGUCACAGCUAACGCAUUAAGUCUAGCGCCUGGGUAGUAUGCACGCAAGUGUGAAACUCAAAGGAAUUGACGGGGACCAGCACAAGUGGUGGAGCAUGUGGUUUAAUUCGAAGAUACGCGAAGAACCUUACCUACACUUGAAAUGCUUGGCAAAGCUAUAGAGAUAUAGCGGAGGUCAACCAGUGCACAGGUGGUGCAUGGUUGUCGUCAGCUCGUGUCGUGAGAUGUUCGGUUAAGUCCGGCAACGAGCGCAACCCCUAUCUUAUGUUACUAACAUUUAGUUGAGGACUCAUGAGAGACUGCCUAGGUAACUAGGAG
rnacentral:rRNA from 1 species